AAGAGAGAAAAUACACUAUGUGCCUAAACUGAUCCCUAUAAAACUAACAUUUCAGAACCUGAAUUUCUUUACUUCCUUUUGAUGGGUUCCCUUCAGUACCCUCUCUCAGGAAAACUUGACUAAUUAAAUGUGACCUUCUUUAAAUAUAUAUAAAAUAUUAUUACAGGUCUGACUUAAACCCACAGGGAAAUGGGGCUAUAUAAUUUGGCUAUAUGUCUCAGGAAAGGGGGAAUGCUUCUUUUCUGUGCAAUCUGAAAAACAGAGUAGUGUCAGUCCCUUGAGAAAUUCUUUACCAACUAAUAGAGAGCUUUAAGUGGAAGCAUCAUCAGGAAUAUUCAAAUAUAUUCCCACUUGACUUCAUUUCACCACAUCAGUAUUUCCCCAGGGCUAUAUGUCAAAAUGUCCCAUAAAUUAUACAUAUCAACUUCAAACAUUAACUACUGAAAACAAUAUUCUGUUAAAAUUGGUGUUAUAUCACUUGUAGGGGAUUUGGUUUAAAUAUAAUCAGAGAGAGAGAAAGAUGUGUCUUGGUGUUUCAAGAACACAGUAGCAGUCAAAUAACACAGGUUCAGUUUUAGCUUGGUCAUUUACUAUAUGUGUUCUUUCUUACAUCUCUAUUUUUAAAAAUUGUAAUUGCAGUUAUACCUAACUGGUUGGUAGAAGGGUUAUCUGUGUUUAUGCGAGGUUCUGGUAGGCACAUGCUACUUAAUAAGUCAUAAUAUUGUUACUAGUUUAUAGUAGUUACAAAAAGUAAAUACAAAUAUUAAUUAGUGUAUUAUUUUAGUUUAACAGUAAAAACAAAAUAAAGCAAAUAUGUAGAUGUAAUAAAUAGUACCUCUAAAUUAUAAGUGUAUUUAUAAAUAGAAUUUACACAUACAUGUUUUUAACAUUUAUUAUUCAUCAUUACUUUUUAAACAUAGAAAAUUAUUGUAAUGUAUAAGAUAAAUCAAAGAUACUCUGUCCAGGUUAUGAAAUAAUCCAGAAUUAAAUUUAUGUUUUUCUGUGUACUCUAUGCAUACUCAGCAUAACUUUGAGAAUUACUGCAUCAAAAGGGACCACUCUCAUCUCUCUGCAAUCCUACAUCUCUUUAUGAGAUUGUAGCAUUCUGUUUAGGCUGUGAUUUGGAAAUUGGUGGUGAUAGUGCUAAAAACUGUUAGUAAAAUCUUUCCCUAGUUUUCUUUACACAUUAUCAAGCCACAUCAUUUUUUGGCCAAUAAAGCUAGCAGGACAAUACUACAUACAGGUUUAUAGCAUAAUAAGAUUAUUUUGUUUUUGCAUAAUGAAUUAACCAUUUAUAAAACUUUUACACAUAGAGUAAGCUGGCUGUGCUUGACAACAAACCUGUAUAAUGAUUCUCUAAGGAAAUAAAGUUCACCAGGAAGUGAAAAAACUUACUCCAAAUGAGGUAGCAGUGAAAUAUUUGCAAACCACUAAUGUUAGAGAAUAAAACAGUUAACAGGAAGAAACAAAAAGUCAAAACUCUUAGUUUUCUGAACUUAAAAUGAUGUUGUUUGUGCCCAUUCUAUAAAUCAAUAUAAUAUAAUGCUUUCUUUCCAAUUUAGACUGGUUCCAAUUAAUCACAUGGUAAUGUGUACUCAGGUAUCUGUGUCUAGAUCUGCUCACUUCAUAGCUCUAUACAGUUAACCUCAUUAACUCCCAGUACCAUAUACUCCUUUUUUUAUAGUACUCAUCUCAAGUGAGGUACUUGUUUAAAUUGUGUAAGCAUAAGAUUUUAUGACAGGAGACACCCUAAUCUUCACACUUCUCUAUAUUUACCCUUUUUAAAAGGUAAAAUUUUGAGUUCUAAUAUCAUGUCAGAUCUGAGCCUAGGCUGUAAGAAGACUUUUCAUGUUUCCUCUUGGCAUUAAGAGAGGAACAUACCCAGGCUAGCUCACCAGUCACACAAGGUGGCUAAAAGACAAGGAGGCAGAGCCUAAAUCAGCUGACCUCAGCUGACACCUAGAUAGGUGAGAGAGGAUAUCAGUAAAAAUGGUAGGUUAAGGAGCUCCAAAAAUUCUCUAAUUUCUUCCAUAAAACCAAUGGAGACACUGGAAGAAAUUGCCUGAAUCAACAUUUUCAGAACCCUGAAAAUUAACCAAAAGCUUGCAACAUUUUGGAGUGCAAUGGCUUAACUUAGUAAGAAGAGCAAACUUGUUGCAUUUUAAAUACCUUGUUCUCAUCACUUCAUACACAACUCCGUGGAAGCCUUGAAAACCGACAGCCCAUAAACAUAGGAAAACCAGCAAUCUGGCAGCCACUAGAGAAGGUAGAAUUGAGUUGGACCUCCUUCAAGGUCCCAUUCCAGGAGAAUUGUCAUUAUUCAAACUAAAUGGUAGUUCCUUGGAUGAACCCACUCAAGAUUCUGUCUUUCAUUGACCUGGCUUAAAGUUUUCCCAGUGCAAACAGCCUUUUCCCUAGUGGUUUUUGUUGAAAACAAUCAGAGACAAUUGUUUCAUCAUGGCUGCCCAAAGUGGUAUAUAUCAGUUGGGAAAAAUAAUAUGCUAAUCAAAGACUUAAAAAUAAAACCUAUGGAAUGAGAUGUCCAAAGGAAGCUUUGGAAAACUGAUAGACUCCUUGAAUCUAGGAAUCCACGCCCUUGUGUAGCACUGUUUUCAUGUCCCAGAAAGACCUGUGAAGGCCACCUCUCACCUAUAAUUUAUCAUUUGUCUUUGCAUAUGCAGGAAGUAAAGGUUAAGGUGGAAUUGUGAACUGCCUAGCUAAAUAUUGAGGGCAUACUCCAGUAUGCACAAUGCCCUCAGAAAAGACUUGAAUAUUUAUUGGUUCCAAACAUUUAAGGAAACCUCUGCCCAUUCAUUAACUGGCUGCAAACUUAAUAAAAAUGAAAACAGAUUAUAAAGAAUUAAUUCAUAAAAGUUACAACACAAGCAAACAAUAACAAACAGAAACAUUAACAACAAACUCUGGAGAGGGCAGAAUCUGAUUUCCAGAGUUGUCACAUGAUAUUACUUAAAAUAUCCAGUUUUGAACAAAAAUUAAUAGAAAUAUAAAGAAAAGAAAGUAUAACCCAUACACAUUAAAAGAAACAGUCAAUAUAAACUAUCUCUGAAGAACCUCAGAUGAAGAACCUAUCUUAUUUGAGAAAGACUUUAAUUAACUUACUCUAAAUAUAUUCAAAGAGCCAAAAUAAAUCAUAUUUAAGAAUAAAAAUAAAGUGUUAGAACAGGUGUUCCUGUUGUGGCUCAGCAGUAGCAAAACCAGCUGGUAUCCAUGAGGACAUGGGUUCAAUCCCUGGCCUUGCUCAGUGGUUUAAGGAUCAGGCAUUGCUGUAAGCAGUGGUAUAGGUCACAGAUGUGGCUUGGAUCCAGCAUUGAUGUUGCUGUGGCCGUGGCAGAGCCUGGCAGCUGCAGGUCCACUUCAACCCCUAGCCUGGGAACUU
ensembl:lncRNA